UCUCUCGCGUUCUCUUCCUCACGGAACCUCUCACUUGCAGUCUCCCACCGUCAAAAUCGCGUUUCUCCCUCUUCCUCCCACAACAACUCACAAAACCCUUCCACUUCCAUUUUCCCCUCUCUCGAAAUCACUCGCAUUUUUUUCCUCUUCCUCACACAACCUCUCAUUUGCACUCUCCCACUGUCAAAAUCGCGUUUCUCCCUCUUCCUCCCACAACUCAGAACCCUUCCACUUCAACUCUCACACCGGCAUUUCGUUAGUGUGGCUAUCACUCACUGCCGUCGUCGUUCACUAUCGACGGUGACUCUUCAGUUUUCCAGGGUUUAGGAAUGGCUAUGGGAAUGGUUAAAUGGAAAGCACAUCUAUAGUCAACAUGAACCUAUGCCUAAAAAGGUUCUUGACUUGAUGAAUGUUGAAAAGCUUACAUGGGGGAAUGUGGCCCACCACCUUCAGGCAUUGAUGAUAAGGCUGCUAUCGUGGAGUAAAUGCUGAUAUAAACUUUAGUUUGAGAGAUUAUGAGGAGGAUUUGAAGCAGGUAUUGAACAUGGUAGGCUAUCAAUUUUAUUUGAUUUUUCUAUCAGUUUAAUUCAUGAUUUGAUUGAGUUGCAGAUGAGAAUUUUGACAAAGGAAGAGUUUGUGCUUGUUCUUCAUCGACAAAUCAGUGAAAUAUUGAGGAGAAACGCAACUCACAUAAGUGCAUUAGCUCUUCACAAAUGUGGUCAAGGAGAACAAAGUAUAAGACCAUUUAUUAGCAAGACGUGGAAAUGCUGAGAAGGACCAUGCUUGUUAGGAGAGAUUUGAGGACAUGGACUUCCGAAGAAGUGUUUUUAAAGUAGACAGAAACAACCCAGUUUAGAUGUGGCUACAAAAACUGCUACGACACUUGCAAUUGUGCCUUCAUAGUAAUAGGUUCUAUAUUCUGGUUCCUGUAGUUCUAUUGUCUAUUGUCAAUCAUAGUUAUUCACUCAUUUUAUUGAAAGUUGAAACUAAUGACAAUAAUCUUAUAUAAUAUUAUAUUGUAUUUAUAAGUUUCUUUGUUUGUUUUAA